rnacentral:lncRNA from 1 species
GUUUGCAGUAGCAGGCAUUUCCCUCACAGCUGCCUUUCAGCAGAAAGUCCUUGACCAGCUGUAGGAGAAAGCGAGCUCCAGCCAAUGCCCUGUGCGAUCGUUCAAGCGAUUUCCCCCAGGGCACUGCAGGAUUUAAGAGAAGAGGUGAAUGAUGUGUAGAGAUGGACAGACACAAAGAUGCAGAAGAGGCUGCUCUCCAUGAGGAGACGGCCUCACCAUGAUCUUUGUAGCCACCACUGCAGAGAGCAUCACCGUGGGCAGGUCUCAGAGAGGAUGAUGAGAUGCCAGCGGGAGGCCUUCUUUCAGGAGCUGGACCAACACGAGAGGCUUGCUGCGAGCUGGGGUGGACGGUGGAGGCAGAAGAGCUGUGGGAUCCCAAGGAAGAGCUGCGAUAAAGUCCUGUGAUGGUGCCUGGACGGGCCGGGAAAGCUGCUGUCAGGGCUGUAAGAGGCUGACCUGUGUAGCACUUGGCGGACCCCGUGCACACACUGGUUCCUGUCUCUCCCUCGUGCAGAUGGCCACCUAGGAGUCCGUCUGGCUGCAGCUGCAGAGAGCCCACCCCAUGCAGUCGCUCUCAUGUUACUCUUUGUCCCGCACUUCAGUGUCAGCUCCCCUAAGGAUGCUCUUCCUUUACGUUCCCAUCGUUGGCCCUUCUGCUGUCUUAGUAAUUAUUUGUGCUUGGCCCAUAUGAGCAAUCCCUCUAAGUCCCUCCUAGCUCGUCAGAGCUUCCCACACGGUUGUUGCUGAGAAAAAAAUUCACCCAAGAUAUAAAUAGCUUGACCUCUUAUCCAGAAAAAAAAAAAAAAAAAAAAAAAAAAAAAAAAAAAGUUUACUUAGGCUAUAAUGUUACACGCUAUUAAUUUGAUCUCGAGUUUUGAUUUGCAACAAGAGCAAUAACUAUUUCCUAUGCAUGAAGCGGGUGGAAGCCCACAGCCUUAUCUCCAUACAGAGGUUAUGCGAGUGCACGUGGAAGUCCAGCCACGUACAGCCAGUCAGGCUGCUGUGCUGCUUUAUGUGAAACAGGAACCCCUGGAAAAGUGAUUUAUUAAGUCGGAGCUGACAAGUGGGGAAUGAUGUUGCUUGGGAGAACAUCGUCAUACAUUGUAAAAGCAGCUGGGAUACUGAUCUUACGUGCCCGUCACCACCCGUGUCACCAGCCUGAUGAAAUUUUAUCUCCGUGGCUCAUCUGCUGGGGCUCUGCGGGAGGGAAUGCCACCCUCCGGUUCUCGGAUCGGCACCACCCAGGUAGCUGAGCAGAACAAAAUGGGUUAGUACAGGAUGGAAUAGCUCAGCAGGAAGGGCCCGCAACCGUCAUCCCGUUUAAUGCCUGACCUCUGCAGGGUUAGCUAAAAGAUGAAACCCAUUACUGAAGGUAUUGCCCAAAGGUCCCUUGGGUGCUGACAGCCACAGGGCACUGGGUGCCUCACCAGGAGCCCAUUCGGUGCCUGCCCACCCGCAUGGUUCAGGGCUUUGUCCUCACUCCCCGGUGCGCUUUGUGCUGUCCCCAUGUGCCCACGACCAGUGACCAUGGAGCAGAGACCUGCAGGACGAGCACCGGUGCCCUCCUCUGAGUGCUCCCACACCCGUUCUGCACUGCUGGGGCUGUUGGUGAAUCAUUAGUUUGGAAAAGCCCUCCAGGAUCAUCUGGUCCAUCCCCCUACCACCAAUGUGACCACUGAACCGUGUCCCCAAGCACCAGGGGACAUGGCAACCUUCCCUUGAGCACCCCCAGGGAUGGCGACUCCCCCACCUCCCCGGGCAACCCGUCCCAACGCCUGCCUGCUCUCUGAGCAGAAAUGUCUCCUCAUUUCCCACCUCAACCUCCCCUGGCACAACUUGAGGCCAUUCCCUUGUCCCAUCAUCGGUUACCUGUGAGCAGAGGCCGACCCCCAGCUCCCCACCCCACCCUUCCAGGUACCUGCAGAGAGCCCCGAGCUCUGCCCUGAGCCCCCUCUUCCCCAGCCCACCCCCCCAGCUCCCCCACCCUCUCCUCACAAUACAUAUGCCCCAUUCCAGCUCCCCCCAUACCCUCCCUGUACCCAUACCCCUUCCCUCACCCCCUACCCCCCGGUGCCAGCUCUCAGCACCACCCCAUCCCCGCCGCCCCCAUCUU